GAAUUUCUCCUUGAUCAUGGCCACGUCAAUGCUGUACGGAUCCCCCCACACCUAUCAUUUCUUUUCCCUCAUUGACUCCAAAUCCAUCACACUUCACCUUGCCACGUUCCGCAAUCCUUAAAACUAUAAUUUCAAUCCAUACACAAUUUAAAAAAAUAAAAAAAAUGAUUAAGAAAAGUAUAAAAAUUGAACCCUUCAUUUGCACUAAGAAAAAACAAAAAGAAAAAAAAUGCGAUAAAAAUGAGUAUGAAGAGAUCUUAUUUUACUCUUCUUUUUAAAAAGAGAUUUGUUUAGAUGAAAAUGGAUCAUGUGAAUACAUUAUUAGAAAAUGGGCGGAUGGAAAGACGAAGUAUCGAAUAGAGAUGAGGUGGGAAGGCGAAGCAUUAAGGAGUGAGAAGGGAGGGAGGUGAAGGAGGAAUUGCCACGUGACAAUCUCCAUAAAAAAUAAUGUAUACUAGUGUAGGAAUCUGUGCGAUAAAUUAAAUAUACAAAUAAAAAUAUAAAAAUAUAGUAAAAAAUAAUUAAUAUUUGAUUGGUUAAUAAUAUAAAAACUAUAUUAAAAAAUUUUUUAGAAUGAAAAUAUAAUCCAAUGGAGAACAAAGAAAGAAAACAAAAAAUAAACAAUAAGAGAAUAAAAAUUGUUGAUAGGAAUUAAAAAACCAUAAUUGAAUGCAAGAAUAAAAGAGAAGAGAAAAAAUAAAAAUGUGAUUUCGUUGGGGUUGGUUUUAUUACUUGACGAAUUAACGUAAAAAAUAUUUGAAAGAAAAUUAGCCCCACCUUAAUUAAAAGAGAAAGAACAUGGGCUCCACAAAAGAGGAGGGGAACAGUCCGAAUAAAAAAAAGAUAACAUAAGAAAUAUUUGGAAGGAAGCGGUUCCAUCUUAAUUAAGAAGAGAGAAAAUGGACUCCAUGCCUCCACUAACAUUCUAAUUAAGAAGAGAGAGAAUGUGAACUCCAUCCUAAUUAAGAAGAGAGAAUAUGAGCUCCAUGCCUCCACUAACAUCCUAAUUAAGAAGAGACACUACAACAGAAUUAGGUUAUAGGGACACAUGUUUGGAACACUUUUGAGUAAGUGUCCCAUUUAUCCUAAAACGUAAAAAAACAUCUACUAAUGCCUAUAUAUAAAGUCCAAUCCAACCAAAAAUAAAAGAUUACUCUACUCAACCCACCACACCCAGUCCAUUUGGCCCGAUUACAAACAGAAAA
rnacentral:lncRNA from 1 species